UCCACCUGCACUUCAGAACAGGAAAUCUAUCUAAAGCUAAGCAGGUCUGGUGCUGUCCAGUACUUGAAUGGGUGACCAGCUAGGAAAGUGAGUUGCUGCUGGAA
rnacentral:rRNA from 1 species